rnacentral:rRNA from 1 species
AGUGAACGCUGGCGGUAGGCCUAACACAUGCAAGUCGAACGGCAGCACAGUAAGAGCUUGCUCUUACGGGUGGCGAGUGGCGGACGGGUGAGGAAUACAUCGGAAUCUACUUUUUCGUGGGGGAUAACGUAGGGAAACUUACGCUAAUACCGCAUACGACCUACGGGUGAAAGCAGGGGAUCUUCGGACCUUGCGCGAUUGAAUGAGCCGAUGUCGGAUUAGCUAGUUGGCGGGGUAAAGGCCCACCAAGGCGACGAUCCGUAGCUGGUCUGAGAGGAUGGCUCGGCACACUGGAACUUAGGCACGGUCCCGACCCCUACGGGAGGGAGCAGGGGGGAAAUUUGGGCAAUGGGGGAAAGCCUUACGCAACCACGCCGCGGGGGGGAAAAAGGGCCUUCGGGUUGUAAACCCUUUUUUUGGGGAAAAAAAAAAGGGGGGUUAAAUCCCCGCUGCUUUACGGUACCCAAAAAAAAAGCCACGGGUAACUUCGGG